GUGUUCACUCGGCAGCACAUGUACUAAAACUGCAAUGAUUCAGAGAAGAUUGGAGUGGCCCCUGCACAAGGACAACAAAUUCAUGAAGCGUUCAUACUUCAA
ensembl:snRNA Gm22089 predicted gene, 22089